AUGGAGGAGAGCGGGUUCGAGUCGGUGCUGUGUGUCAAGCCUGACGUCCCCGUCCACCGCAUCCCUCCGCGGGCUACCAACCGUGGCUACAGGGCCACGGAGUAGCAGCUUGACCAGCCAUCAUGGAGUGGCCGGCUGAGGAUCACUGCAAAGGGGCAGAUGGCCUACAUCAAGCUGGAGGACAGGACCUCAGGGGAGCUCUUUGCUCACGCCCCAGUGGAUCAGUUUCCUGGCACGGCUAUGGAGAGCAUGGCGGAUUCCAGCAGGUACCUCGUGAUCUGCAUUGAAGAUGGAAACAGGCAACGGGCGUUUAUUGGAAUUGGCUUCGGGGACCGAGGUGAUGCCUUUGACUUCAAUGUUGCAUUGCAGGAUCAUUUCAAGUGGGUGAAAGAGCAGUGUGAGUUUGCGAAACAAGCCCAGAACCCAGACCAAAGCCCUAACUUGGACCUGGAAUUCAAGGAGGGCCAGGCCAUCAAGCUCAACAUUGCAAACAUGAAGAAGGAAGGAGCAGCCAGAAUCUCCGAGCCCCGCCUGCCAGCAAAGGAGGGUUGAGCUUGCUUCCCCCUGCCCCAGGGGGCAAAACCUCCACCCUCAUCCCUCCCCCUGGGGAGCAGUUGUCAGUGGGGGGAUCCCUCCUCCAGCCAGCCAGCAAUCAACUUCCAGCCAGACCCAACCAGGCUGGGUCCAGUUCUGACCUGAGCACAAUUUUUCCUCAUGUGACUUCUGGGAAGGAGCUCCCUCAUCUGGGCCAAAGGAAGGAGGGCGAAGCAUUCCUCAGCUGGCCUGUGUUUGGAGCAUGAAUCUCUCCUCUCUCCUUGCCUGGCUCUGUUGACAAACUGGGCAUGUCUGGCAGUAAAUUGGCAUCGUGUCACACUGUUUCCUGGGAUUCAAGUAUGCAACCAGUACACCAAAGAAGAAAAGCUCCAGGAUCCCUGUCCCCAUCUGUCCUCUUGACAUGAGAGAGACCCUGAGACUUCUUCUAUCGCAUUGACACGUAUUAAACACAAGCCCCUAAAGCAAAA